rnacentral:lncRNA from 1 species
CCGGUGUGGGCAAGUCUUUUCGAUUCCUAUUAAGGGAAAAUCUUUUGUUCUUCCUCUCAUUUUUGUUAUUCUUUGAUUUUUUUAUUGAUUUCAGGCGAUAGUUUAUCUUUCCUAAGAAGGUAAUCACAACUAUUGUAAUAUUGAUUAACCUUACAGAUCCUCUUCUCCUUCUCUACAAUUCCACAAAUCGCGGGGUUGUAAUGUUGAUUCACCUU